UACGUAGGGGGCGAGCGUUGUCCGGAGUUACUGGGCGUAAAGCGCACGCAGGCGGUCUGCCAAGUUUGGAGUGACAGUUGGUGGCUUAACUGCCAAAGUGCUUCGAAAACUGACAGACUUGAGGGCUUCAGAGGGACACGGAAUUCCGGGUGGAGUGGUGAAAUGCGUAGAGAUCCGGAGGAACACCAAAGGCGAAGGCAGUGUCCUGGGAAGUACCUGACGCUCAGGUGCGAAAGCCAGGGGAGCGAACGGG
rnacentral:rRNA from 1 species